CCUCGGGUGCUGCAGUGGGGAAUAUUGGACAAUGGGCGAAAGCCUGAUCCAGCCAUGCCGCGUGUGUGAAGAAGGCCUUCGGGUUGUAAAGCACUUUCAGUGGGGAAGAAAGCCUUGGGGCUAAUACCCUCGAGGAAGGACAUCACCCACAGAAGAAGCACCGGCUAACUCCGUGCCAGCAGCCGCGGUAAUACGGAGGGUGCGAGCGUUAAUCGGAAUUACUGGGCGUAAAGCGCGCGUAGGCGGUCUGAUAAGCCGGUUGUGAAAGCCCCGGGCUCAACCUGGGAACGGCAUCCGGAACUGUCAGGCUAGAGUGCAGGAGAGGAAGGUAGAAUUCCCGGUGUAGCGGUGAAAUGCGUAGAGAUCGGGAGGAAUACCAGUGGCGAAGGCGGCCUUCUGGACUGACACUGACGCUGAGGUGCGAAAGCGUGGGUAGCAAACAGGAUUAGAUACCCUGUAGUC
rnacentral:rRNA from 1 species